ACAGACAGGUGCUCAGGAAACAAUUUUUGAAUGAAUGACUAGAUGCUGAAUUAUUUGCUUGGUAGGAUGAGGAUGGGCAUUUCCAACAUAUUGCAACUGGAAACAGUGUUCCACGUUUAGAACUCCUCUUCGCCUCAUGAGCUAAUUUGGCACAUUACUGGUCUGAGUGAGCUGUGGGUUGUCUGCAGGUUAUGCUCAUUCAAGUCUAUUUUUAGAUCUUGUUCCUAAAUAAGUACACCAGAAUAGCAUUCAGUUUGAAAAUCACCAUCUGUUCAGAGCAAUGAGCUUGGCCUCGCUGGGCUGGGUAUACCUUCUAAGACUGCACGAACAAAAAUGAAGUAGUGCAUGGACCAAUGAGGUGAUAAGACCCCAGCGGAAAAAUUUUCUCCAAUAUUCCUCUAGGAAAGAGUCCUAGCAGCAAGAACAUUGGUCACGAGAUUGGCCAAGGGAUCAAUCAACUCUCUAGUCCCUUCCCGUGAUGUGAAAUGCGGUAAUACUUAAGACAAACAUGCUGUAAUUAUUACAUGAAUAAAGAGCUUGUGUAGCAUAAACUGUUUUUGUAACAUCAACACAAAUUCUGUUGGAGCAGGCUAAUAAUUAGCCGUGGUAACAACAAUGGCCACUGUGUUUGAGAAGCUCUGAGAGGUAACAGUGCUGCCGGAGGUGAGAUGACUCACGCGUUAUCUUCUACCCUCAAAGUAGCCUUGGUGUAGAGGGACUGUUUUCAAUAAUAUCUUAACCUAGAAAGUCUUCUGAAAUUUCACCAAGGGCUAAUUAUACAUUCUAGUACCAACUAGAAUAUAUCUGGUUCCCUAACAUAUAUUGGAAAUUAAAUUUCAUCUUCAUUUUACUUUUUUUUUUUAAGGAAAGGACUCUUCGAUUUGAUUACUAGCAAACUCUUACUGUACAUGAAAUCCUGUUCAAGGUCUGAAAGCUCAAAUUAAUAAAUGAUUUUGUCAUCAUAAUCUAAAUGUCUAACAGUGGAACAUGAAUUUAACAGUGUGGAAGAAAAGUUGUCCUAAAACAUAAGACAUCUAUAUGUGCUGGGAUUUCAAUACUUUUUAUUUUUACUACUUGAAUGCUGCAUUUAUGCAUUGCUUUGCUUUGGUUUAUGGCUGUUAGUUUAGCAACUAAGGGCUGAAUGAACAGAUCCCUCACAGAUCAUCCAACCUCAUGACCAGGCAAGGGGAGCCUCAGCUGGAGCAGCCUAUUUCUGUUUCCUGGGUCUAGACUCAGAGCAGACAUUUAAAAGACAAUACAGCAGUAAAUCCUCUCCUACCUUGACUACAACUAAACCUGACAUUUGGGAAGUGAGGUAUAGUCAAUAGUUUGGGCUGUAAUAAUAAUUCAAUAAAUAUCAGUUUUGAUGUACCAGAAGUCAGAAAGCUACCUUGUACACCUUGCCAGUAACAGCCCAUGGUAUACCUGGUUGCAUUAGAAUCAGCUGGGGAGGGGGAAGGGAUGUCAGUGGGAAUAGUGCAGUGAGAACCUCCAGAAAAUCUGCUCCUCCAUAUAAACAAUGAGAACAUCGCCAAAGAUUGUAAAAAAAAAAUUGUCAAAACUUUUUCAGAACCCCAGAAAUUAGCCAAAAGCUUGCAACAACCUGAGAAGCAUUCAUUCACGAAAAGUGGCUGAAUCUCAGUAAGAACAAGCUUUGUGGCAUUUUAUUUGUUUUGUUAUUGUUGUUGUUUUUUGAGGUGGAGUUUCAUUUUUGUUGCCCAGGCUGGAGUGCAAUGGCAUGAUCUCGGCUCACUGCAACCUCCGCCUCCUGGGUUCAAGCAAUUCUCCUGUCUCAGCCUCCUGAGUAGCUGUGAUUACAGGCGCCCACCACUACACCCAGCUAAUUUCUGGUAUUUUUAGUAGAAAUGGGGUUUCACCAUGUUGGCCAGGCUGGUCUCAAACUCCUGACCUCAGGUGAUCCGCCUGCCUCGGCAUCCCAAAGUACUGGGAUUAUAGGCCUAAGCCACCACACCGAGCCACUUUGUGGAAUUUUAACUUGC
rnacentral:lncRNA from 10 species